GCUCUUUUUUGGUUUUUUAUUCUGCUCAGGACGAACGGUGGCGGCGUCCCUAAUACAUGCAAUUCGAGCGGACCGACGGGAGCUUGUUCCCUUAGGUCAGCGGCGGACGGGUGAGUAACACGUGGGUAACCUGCCUGUAAGACUGGGAUAACUCCGGGAAACCGGGGUUAAUACCGGAUGCUUGAUUGACCCGCAUGGUUCAAUCAUAAAAGGUGGCUUUCAGCUACCACUUACAGAUGGACCCGCGGCGCAUUAGCUAGUUGGUGAGGUAACGGCUCACCAAGGCGACGAUGCGUAGCCGACCUGAGAGGGUGAUCGGCCACACUGGGACUGAGACACGGCCCAGACUCCUACGGGAGGCAGCAGUAGGGAAUCUUCCGCAAUGGACGAAAGUCUGACGGAGCAACGCCGCGUGAGUGAUGAAGGUUUUCGGAUCGUAAAACUCUGUUGUUAGGGAAGAACAAGUACCGUUCGAAUAGGGCGGUACCUUGACGGUACCUAACCAGAAAGCCACGGCUAACUACGUGCCAGCAGCCGCGGUAAUACGUAGGUGGCAAGCGUUGUCCGGAAUUAUUGGGCGUAAAGCGCGCGCAGGCGGUUUCUUAAGUCUGAUGUGAAAGCCCCCGGCUCAACCGGGGAGGGUCAUUGGAAACUGGGGAACUUGAGUGCAGAAGAGGAGAGUGGAAUUCCACGUGUAGCGGUGAAAUGCGUAGAGAUGUGGAGGAACACCAGUGGCGAAGGCGACUCUCUGGUCUGUAACUGACGCUGAGGCGCGAAAGCGUGGGGAGCGAACAGGAUUAGAUACCCUGGUAGUCCACGCCGUAAACGAUGAGUGCUAAGUGUUAGAGGGUUUCCGCCCUUUAGUGCUGCAGCAAACGCAUUAAGCACUCCCGCCCGGGAGA
rnacentral:rRNA from 1 species